UUCUAAGAGUUAGGAGGAACGUCA
rnacentral:piRNA from 1 species